rnacentral:rRNA from 1 species
UACAUAGCUUAAUGAGGGGAACUCAGGGAACUGAAACAUCUAAGUACCUGAAGGAAGAGAAAGAAAUUCGAUUCCGUAAGUAGCGGCGAGCGAACGCGGAUUAGCCCAAACCAAUAAAGUUUUCUUUAUUGGGGUUGCGGACAUAUCAUAACGAAGAGGUAUCGUAAUUGAAGAGGUUUGGAAAGACCCACCACAGAAGGUAAUAGUCCUGUAUGUUAAACGAGAAGACUUUA